rnacentral:lncRNA from 1 species
AUGACACUUGGCUUACUGGCAUUAAAGGUUGUAAAGUUUUGGGUGUUUUUUUUUUCUUUAAAAACUGGAAGCGGGCCUAAGCUGCAAAUGGCAGGCUGUACCCGCCCGCGGGGCUGGGGGCCCGCACGCCACCCACAGAGGGUCCUGCAGCUCUUUGCCCGCACCCGCCGGGAUGAGAUAGGAUGCGAUGCGGCGGGCAGGACUCCGCUUCCAGACAAGGCCAGGCCCGGGAGGAGGCACCGAGCAGGCCACCGGCCGCGGCGGGCUGCUCCUCCUCCCGCAGCCUCUCUGCGCGGGUGUCCCGAAGGCCAUCGCCCCCCCCCCCCCCCGCCUCCCCGGGCUCUCCGGCACCGCGCCACACGCACCUGCCUCCCUUUGAGGCUUCUCCCCAAACCCGCCGGCCCCUCAACUGCGGCCUACCCAGGACGAAGCGCUCCUCUCAGCGCCCCCCGCCCCGGGGAGCGCGGGCACCGGGUGCAACGGCCUCCCCUCGGCCGCCGGUACCGGUACCGGCCGCACCCGCCUCACUCGGCCGCGCCGCCGCGCACGCGCAGGGCGUCGGUUGUUAAAAACUCACUGCGCCAUCGCCGCCGGAAAACCCCUCCCCGGGGAGGGAGCCGCCGCCGCCGCCGCCGUGCGGGGCGCGCUGGCGGCUGUCGGUCGGCUGCCGUCCCGCGGGGAUACGAAGGCUCAUCGUCGCUUCGCCCUGUCCCUGCCCCUGCCCCACGACCCUCAAGGCGCGCCCGCAGCCGGGGGGGGGAGCCCGCCGCCAUUUCCAGAAAGUUCCAGCGGCCGCCGCCAAGGCGAGAGCGCGGCUGCCCCGGCGCGUGCGCACGAUGCUCGCCGCCCGUCGCCACCCUCUUCCCUCACGCCCCUGGGCAUCCUGCAGAGCCCCGUUAUUCCCCCAGGGUGGGGACGGGAGCGAGCGGCAAGGAGCCCGGUGGGGCGCCCGUGCCCGUCCCUCGCCGCACGGGGGAACAGAGCGUUACAGUGACCCUGCCUCCCUUCCCCCCCACACCCCCCCCCCCGCAACAACCGCCGCUCCCUCCCCAACCGCCGCCCGAGCCGUGUAACGUCCGCGGCAGCGCCCGCCCGCCCCUGUGUGGGGGCCACGUGGGAGGGGCGCGGCCAAUGGGAGGCCGGCGGAGCGCUACUCCAGCAGCGGCUGUUGGGGAAGGGAAGGGGUAA